rnacentral:misc_RNA from 1 species
AAGUCGUAACGAGGUUUCCGUAGGUGAACCUGCGGAAGGAUCAUUAAAGGAUCGCCCCGUUUUUUGAAAUGGGUUCUAUUCCCAAACCGUGUCUAACAUACCUUUGUUGCUUUGGCAGGCCGCCGCUUCGGCGUUGGCUCCGGCUAACUGCGCCUGCCAGAGGACCCAAACUCGUUUAUCUAGUGAUGUCUGAGUACUAUAUAAUAGUUAAA